rnacentral:rRNA from 1 species
GAUGAACGCUGGCGGCGUGCCUAAUACAUGCAAGUCGAGCGAACAGACCAGGAGUUUGCUCCUCUGAUGUUAGCGGCGGACGGGAGAGUCACACGUGGAUAACCUACCUAUAAGACUGGGAUAACUUCGGGAAACCGGAGCUACUACCGGAUAACAUGUUGAACCGCAUGGUUCAACAGUGAAAGACGGUCUUUCUGUAACUUAUAGAUGGAUCCGCGCCGCAUUAGCUAGUUGGUGAGGUAACGGGUUACCAAGGCAACGAUGCGUAGCCGACCUGAGAGGGUGGUCGGGCAGACGGGAACUGAGACAGGGUCCAGACACCUGCGGGGAGAAGCAGUAGGGAAUCUUACGCGAUGGAGGAGAGCCUGACGGAGCGAAGCCGCGUGAGUGAAGAAGGUCUUCGGAUCGUAAAACUCUGUUAGUAGGAAAGAACAAAAGUGUAAGUAACUAUGCACGUCUUGACGGUACCUAAUCAAAAAGCCACGGCUAACUACGUG